rfam:Aedes albopictus isolate Foshan contig91337, whole genome shotgun sequence.
UGUUCUAUGGCUUAGUUGGAUAAAGCGUCGGUCUAGGGAAUACAGAGUCGUGGGUUCAAAUCCCACCAAAACUC